rfam:Canis lupus familiaris chromosome X, whole genome shotgun sequence.
GGGGGGAGGCCGGAUCCUGGGCUGUGUCCCGGCGCCCUGUGCUCCGGAGCCUGCGCUGUUGGAUUCGCACUCCCGGGCCGCGCAACCCCCU